AAAGUGGAGCAAUCCAUGAGUACAGUGGCGUACGGGUGAGUAACACGUGGAUCAUCUACCUUUUAGUGGGGAAUAACCUUGGGAAACCGAGGAUAAUACCGCAUAAUCCCGAGAGGGGAAAGCAGCAAUGCGCUGAAAGAGGAGUCCGCGGCCGAUUAGCUAGUUGGCAGGGUAAAAGCCUACCAAGGCAUCGAUCGGUAGCCGGCCUGAGAGGGCACACGGCCACACUGGCACUGAAACACGGGCCAGACUCCUACGGGAGGCAGCAGUGGGGAAUCUUGCACAAUGGGGGAAACCCUGAUGCAGCGACGCCGCGUGAGCGAUGAAGCCCUUCGGGGUGUAAAGCUCUUUCGGCAGGGAAGAUUAUGACGGUACCUGCAGAAGCAGCUGCGGCUAACUACGUGCCAGCAGCCGCGGUAAUACGUAGGCAGCAAGCGUUGUUCGGAGUUACUGGGCGUAAAGGGUGUGUAGGCGGUUGUUUAAGUUUGGUGUGAAAUCUCCCGGCUCAACUGGGAGGGUGCGCCGAAUACUGAAUGACUUCGAGUGCGGGAGAGGAAAGUGGAAUUCCUGGUGUAGCGGUGAAAUGCGUAGAUAUCAGGAGGAACACCGGUGGUGUAGACGGCUUUCUGGACCGUAACUGACGCUGAGACACGAAAGCGUGGGUAGCAAACAGGAUUAGAUACCCUGGUAGUCCACGCCCUAAACGAUGCAUAUUUGGUGUGGGCAGUUCAUUCUGUCCGUGCCGGAGCUAACGCGUUAAAUAUGCCGCCUGGGGAGUACAGUCGCAAGGCUGAAACUC
rnacentral:rRNA from 1 species